rnacentral:rRNA from 1 species
GAUGAACGCUGGCGGCGUGCCUAAUACAUGCCAGUCGAGCGAACAGACGAGGAGCUUGCUCCUCUGACGUUAGCGGCGGACGGGUGAGUAACACGUGGAUAACCUACCUAUAAGACUGGGAUAACUUCGGGAAACCGGAGCUAAUACCGGAUCAUAUAUUGAACCGCAUGGUUCAAUAGUGAAAGACGGUUUUGCUGUCCCUUAUAGAUGGAUCCGCGCCGCAUUAGCUAGUUGGUAAGGUAACGGCUUACCAAGGCAACGAUGCGUAGCCGACCUGAGAGGGUGAUCGGCCACACUGGAACUGAGACACGGUCCAGACUCCUACGGGAGGCAGCAGUAGGGAAUCUUCCGCAAUGGGCGAAAGCCUGACGGAGCAACGCCGCGUGAGUGAUGAAGGUCUUCGGAUCGUAAAACUCUGUUAUUAGGGAAGAACAAAUGUGUAAGUAACUAUGCACGUCUUGACGGUACCUAAUCAGAAAGCCACGGCUAACUACGUG